rnacentral:rRNA from 1 species
AUUGAACGCUGGCGGCAGGCUUAACACAUGCAAGUCGAGCGGAGAGAGGUAGCUUGCUACUGAUCUUAGCGGCGGACGGGUGAGUAAUGCUUAGGAAUCUGCCUAUUAGUGGGGGACAACAUUUCGAAAGGAAUGCUAAUACCGCAUACGUCCUACGGGAGAAAGCAGGGGAUCCUCGGACCUUGCGCUAAUAGAUGAGCCUAAGUCGGAUUAGCUAGUUGGUGGGGUAAAGGCCUACCAAGGCGACGAUCUGUAGCGGGUCUGAGAGGAUGAUCCGCCACACUGGGACUGAGACACGGCCCAGACUCCUACGGGAGGCAGCAGUGAGGAAUAUUGGACAAUGGGCGCAAGCCUGAUCCAGCCAUGCCGCGUGUGUGAAGAAGGCCUUAUGGUUGUAAAGCACUUUAAGCGAGGAGGAGGCUACUUUAGUUAAUACCUAGAGAUAGUGGACGUUACUCGCAGAAUAAGCACCGGCUAACUCUGUGCCAGCAGCCGCGGUAACAC